rnacentral:lncRNA from 1 species
UCAGCUUGUCCGGGAACCAACUGUCCGGCGGGAUCCCGAGAAGCGUUGCUAAGCUAAGCCAGCUGACGCAAAUGGACCUGAGCAGGAAUCAGCUCACCGGCGGCAUACCGGCAGAGCUCGGCGCCAUGCCGGUGUUAAGUGUCCUUGACCUGUCGUCGAACAAGCUCUCCGGCAACGUACCGCAGGCGCUUGCGAAGCUACAACUCACCUCCCUGAACCUGUCCUCGAACCAGCUGAGCGGUCAGGUCCCGGCCGGGUUGGACACAGCGGUCUACGACACCAGCUUCCUCGACAACCCCGGCCUCUGCACCGCCGCUGCCGGAUCCGGCUACCUCACCGGCGUACCUUCCUGCGCCGGCGGAUCACAAGACGGCGCUUCCUCCGGAGGCGUCUCGCACGCACUCCGCACGGGCCUCCUCGCCGCCGGCGCCGCGCUCCUCCUAAUCGCCGGUGCGUUCGCCUUCUUCGUCAUCCGCGACAUCAAGAAACGGCGGCGCGUCGCGGAGCAAGACGACUGGAAGAUCACGCCUUUCGUAAAAGAUCUGGGAUUCGGUGAGGCACCCAUACUCCGGGGGCUGACGCAGGAGAACAUCGUCGGCCGCGGGGGAUCGGGGCGCGUGUACCGCGUCGCCUACACCAACCGGCUUAACGGCCGAGCCGGCGCGGUGGCCGUGAAGCAAAUACAGACCGCCGGGAAGCUCGACGAGAAGCUGGAACGCGAGUUCGCGUCCGAGGCUGGCAUCCUCGGCAACCUCCGGCACAACAACAUCGUCAGGCUCUUGUGUUGCCUCUCCAACGCCGAGUCCAAGCUCCUCGUGUACGACUACAUGGACAACGGCAGCCUGGACAGGUGGCUCUACGGCGACGCCCUCCCCGCCGGUGGGCGCCCCAUGGCAAGGGCGCGGUCCGCGCGGCGCGAACCGCUGGAUUGGCCGGCGAGGCUCAGGGUGGCCGUCGGCGCCGCGCAGGGGCUGUGUUACAUGCACCACGAGUGCGAGCCGCCCAUCGUUCACCGGGACGUCAAGACGAGCAACAUCCUGCUGGACUCGGAGUUCCGGGCCAAGAUCGCCGAUUUCGGGCUGGCCAGGAUGCUGCUGCAGGCCGGGGCGCCCGAGACGAUGUCCGCCGUUGCCGGAUCGUUCGGCUACAUGGCUCCUGGUAAGGAUCCGAACUUGCUGCUUCCAGUGAAUUUCUGUCCCAUUUCUCCAGAUUCAAUAACUGGGGAGCAGCACUGUUACAAAUGCCACAUGCUCUCGUGUUGCCGGACCUUAGAUUGGGCCUUUUGAUGCUUAUCUGCAGAGUGCGCUUACACCAUGAAGGUGAGCGAGAAGGUUGACGUUUACAGCUUCGGCGUCGUUCUCCUGGAGCUCACCACCGGAAAGGAGGCCAACGACGGCGGCGAGCACGGCUGCCUGGCGGACUGGGCACGGCACCACUACCAAUCAGGAGGGAGCAUCCCCGACGCCACAGACAAGAGCAUCAGAUACGACGGGUACUCUGACGAGAUCGAGGUUGUCUUCAGGCUCGGCGUGCUCUGCACCGCCGAUAUGCCGUCGUCGCGGCCAACCAUGAACGACGUGCUGCAGAUCUUGGUCAAGUGCAGCGAGCAGACGUACCACAAGGGCAAGACGGAGCGUGGCCCAGAGUAUGAGGCGGCUCUGCUACCCAAGCGCGGCAGUCGCCGGAAACAGCUUUCAAACGACUCGGGGAUCGACAUCGAAGAGAAGAUCGACUUCGACAGCAUUGUCUGAAGAAAGGAACUGACCACUGCAUAUGCCAGUAAGCAGCUUGUGACAUCGUCAGUGAACUGCUUGCUAUAGUGAUACUUCACAUUUUAGCAUAGUACAGCGGAGAAUUAUGCGUCUAAUCUUUUUUUUUCUGAAGAGCUACGUGUCUUUAUAUUAAAAGAGAAUAUAAAUAGAAAAACCGGUCUCUUGGAAGCAACCACUCUAGCUCACCUAGGAGAAUAGAGAGAUUGCAGAAAUAAGCGAAUAAAAACAUCGUCACCACACCUUGACCCUGCACGGCUGGACUAGGUACAUGCAUAGAAUAGAGUAGGGCUUGUGGCUAGCCAAACCGUUCUGUGUGUUGAUACUGCAAACUUGUAAUAAAUCACACACAUAUUAUACGUUCAGAUAGAAGAACUAGCAAACAUUACGAUUAUCAUUUCUUUCUGAAACAAAUAUGUUUUGGCUAGUUUCAAAUAUGUUUUUUUAUUUUAUUAGACAUUUAAAACAAUCUGAUUUAAUCUAAAAAUUCAUAACUAAUUAAUUUUAAAUCAUAAAAAUAUGAAACUAGUACCCAUCUUUUUCUAGAAUGUUACCUUCUAUGUUGUUUUUUUUUGGGAGUUAUUGGCAUAUUAUUGUUCCCAUCUCUAGUGUUUUAUUUUUUGUAGUCAAACCUGCUAUUUAUUUAUUGUUGUUUUGCAUUGUAUGAUUAUUGGAUGCUAUGCCAUACAAAUCUAAUUGUUCAGAAACCUUAUGCAUCAUGAAGAAAUUAGUGGAUACAAUUAAUAUUGGUACAUUAUGAACUUCCCAUCAAGAAAUAUAUCUAUACAAUGUUUCAUAUGAAUAUUUUUAAUGCACCUUGAGUUUUUGGAUAAACUUUUUUCAUAAAAGUUAAUUAGAUGCAUUCUUAAUUAAAUAAGCUAUUUGGGUAAUUUUUCAAAAAUGUUUAUUUAAAUAAUAGAAAGUUUAUUUAUUUAUUCUGGAAAGAGUUUCCAACUGGUCUUUAGAGGCCCUUUCGCUUCUGAAAAAGAUUUCUUUCAUCUUUUUUUAAGUUUGGGAUAUUGCCGCACAUGGGAAAGACCGAUACUACGCUUUUUUUCCCUACAAAUGGAAAAUGAGAUUUUUUUUUUGAGACUCAAAUGGAAAAUGAGAUUGAGUAGUGCUCUUUUUUCCAGAUCGUGCCAUCAGCGGGUAAGAGCAACUCCAACAAUUUUAUCUUACUAUUACUAAUUGGAGACUCCUUUUGAAGUUUCAUGGUGAAACCACCUAGGAUCCUAGGUGGACACUCUAGAAAAAGAGAUAAAUCCUAAAAAUUCUCACAAAAAGCAAAACAUCUGGCCGUCAAUCAGUAAGCUCAAAUCAUCAUAGCCAUUGGAUCUAUUAUGUUUUCUAAAAGGUUACUCACCUCUGACAUUAUAGAAAAUAAACUAAAGUAACCCCCUAAUAUUUAUCAAAAUUACCCACUUCUGCCAUUAUAAAAAUAAUUUAAAAUAACCUCCUAAAUUUGCAACUAAAUUUCCCACCACUAAUACUUAAAAAAUAACUUAAAAUAACUCUUUAAAUUUGCAUCUAUAUUAUCCACAUAUGCUAUUAUUAAAAAUAACAUGAUGCAACCCUAAAUUUGAAUCCAAAUCACCUUAAUUAAAAAUAUACACCAAAAUAUGAUUCGAAAUCAUCUACAUCUUACACUAUUGGUAUAUGAUAUAAUAAUUAAGGUAUAUACGCAUGGGAAAAUGAUGAAAAAAUAGAUUUCUAUGUUAAAAUUAUAGCUCAAAUGUAGGGUCCAUUAAAUAAAUUCAAGCGCAUACUUGCGAUGCAAAGUGAAAAGUUAACGAUUAUAAAAGUGGAUGGAAACAUUAUAGAGUAAUUAUUAACUAAAAUCUAUCACAAUCGGAUGAAGAUAUAUCUAUAUAAGUAUUGUGUUCGAAUAUUUAACAAGUGAGAGGCAUCUCAAGGUAAUAAUUUUUGUAGUAAUGUGGUCUCAUUUUUUUCCAUAGGAGACUCCAUAUUAGCUCUCACAAGACACGGUAGAAAAAAAGAUAAAUCCUAAAAAUUCUCAUAAAAAUUAAAAACAUCAAACAUGAAUUAUGUAAACUCUAAUAAUCAUAGCCAUUGGUCUAUUAUAUUUUCUAAAAAGUUACUGACAACUAUCAUUAUGAAAAUAUUCUAAAAUAAACCCUAAACCUAUAUCUAAAUUAUCAAGCUCUACCAUAUAAAGAAUAAUCUAAAGUAAUCCAUAAUCUUCAUCCAAAUUACUCAUGUAUAUCAUUAUAAAGUAUAACUUAAAGUGGCAUUCUAAAUUUGUAUCUAAGUUACCCACGUGUAUUGUUACAGAAAAUAAUCUAAAGUAAACACAUAAAUCGUAAUCUAAUUUCUUCAUGUGCAUCAUAUAGAGAUGUCCAAAAAUAAACUAAUAUAUGGUUUUAAUACUUAUUUAUGUCAUUAUUAAUAUAUAAAUACUAAGUUAAGGUAUGUAUGCAUGAUGGGUGUCACCAUGUAGACCAUUUAUACAUGUUGUGAGGAAGUAAUGUGAGUUUUAUGCUAAAUGCAAUGUAUGGAGGUGCCAUACAAAAUGAGAAAAGUGUGAAUGUGGAUGAAAAAUUGUGUGGAGUUAUUACUAAUUAAAAAUCAAUUAUGACUGGACAAAAAAUAAGUACACGUCUAUAUGGGUGUUAUGUUGGAGUGUUGAAAAAAAUGAGAGAGUAGUAGGUAGACAAUUUUGAUUAUUUAGCUAAGAGUUUAAUUUCUAAAUAAUUUCAAAUACGAUAGCUUUUAAAAAUAUUAGCCCAUGCGGGAGCACGGCUUAAUGGACUAGUAACACUUAAAUCAAAGCUCCUCAAUAGGAGUUAUUUUUUGAGGGCCAAAAAAAAACAUCUAACUAUAGCAAUAGCCUUCAAAUCAGAAUCUCCAAAGGUCAAAUAGGAAUUAUUUUUUUAGCCAAAAAAUACAUCCAACUCCAGCAAUAGGCCCCAUGGAAAGAGGCCAGUGACUAUAUGUCGCAUAUGUGAUUAUCGCCUACUCGCGACAUAUAGUCGCUGCUAGACGGGACCCACAGGACACCUCCGCCUCCGCUUUCUUCCUUCUGCCGCUGCAGCGCCGCCACCAUGAUUCACCGUCGGACGGUUAGGGUUUGGGGUUUCGGGGCUUUGAGUUCUGGGUUGUCGGUAACAGGGAGCUGUGUAACAUCCCACUUUUUAGAGCAUUUAGAAGUACGGACUUUUCAAAAAAAAAUUCUUAAAACUAAACAUAAUCUUUUUCUUUAUAUUCAAAAUCAUUUUAUAAACAAACCCUUCAUUAACCCACAUAUGUGUUGCACUUGGUUGCUCUUUUAGCACCUCCCUUCUAAAUCCCAGAGAUAGAAUUUCUGAAUCUUUCAUUCCUUCAAACCCUAGAAAUAAUAUUCAAAACCCUUUGAAUACUAGUUAUAUCCAAAGCCCUAUAAAAUUUCCAUCUCAUCUUAGACAAACAUUCCUAAAUCAAGGAUCCUUCCAAAAGCCCCAUUUUUAUAUCCUAUCCAAGCCCACACCUUCUUUUGUAUUUAGAUUUGAAAACUAUUUCAAAUUUGAAUACAAAUCCCUUUAAACAUCCUUCAAAUAAAUAACCAAAGCCUCUAUUCCCUAACCAGGCCGUCAACUUCAUAUUCAGCCCACCAUCCAUAUCGGAACGGCUCACAACCCAACUCUCCCCCACUAGCAGCCCAUGUAUGCUCGGCCCGAAUCGCCUUCUCCCAGCCAAGCACCCAUCCCUCCUCCUAGUCCACCGACGCGCGGUCAGCACCGCUGCUGGCCGGCACCCCUUCCCCCGAUGCCUCCAUGCCGCGUCACAGUGCCGCGUUUACACGCCACCGCGACGGUUAACCAUGCCAGGAGCAUCUCCCCCGCCCAGUUUAGCUCCCAAGAAACCCUCUCCCUGACACCAUAUCAGCACCAACCCAUCUCGACGGCCACCUCACCCAACCACAAUUAAUGCUACCGCCAAUCAUCCCCGGCCGGUCUAAUCCGACCGCUGUGCGCCUCCCUUCUCUCUUCCUUUGCAGCCUAAGCAACAUAUGCGCAUCGACGUGGCUACCUUCCCUCAUCCGCUACCCCCUGCCGCACCUAUCCAAGUGGACCGCGGUCUAACUCCAUCGGUCCCGCCGUCCCCUCGCCUACCUCCCCACCACAUGCUCCCAGCUCAUGAACACCGUAGACACACCCCGCACCCUGGUCCACAGCCCAAGUCCACCGGUCUACCGCACUGUGACUGUGGCCCCCGCCCGCUUGCACUAGCCGCCUCUAAAUUGUUAUACGCACCCAACUUUUGUACACCAGAAGCUACUUCAAGCCCUUAACCACCUCCAAAAAUUCACCAAAAAUCCCAUAAAAUCCUAGAAGCCUAUGCAUGCCUUUCUUUCCUAUAGUUUACCUCAUAUGAGUCCCUUUUCUAUCUUUUACUAUGACCUUAGAGCCCAACCAUAUUAGGAAUAUGCCACACCGCCUCCACCCGCUGUCGUGACCUAACCCCUAGGUGUUAGGCCGGGUCGAAGUUAAGUGCGUCGUGCGGCCUCUAGCCACCUUUCCUACGUCGUUAACAACACCGGUUGCCUAUUCCUCGCUGCCCUAUCGUCGCCGCUAACCCAUAUCGUUGCCACACAUCUGCUUGACCUUGCCCAGCCCCACCUUUCGUCGUAUGACUAUCCCCUUGCAUUGACUCAUGUUGAAGCGAUGACCAUUGUGGCGGAACCGCCCAACUUAAGCUGGUUUAAGUGCGCCUAAUCGCUGUCGGAACAGCAAUUAUCCGAAACGCACCUAAAACAGCAUAAGUCCGGUAGUCCGUCGAGUGUCCCUAGGACUCCUCGAAAGAUCCACAACGUGUUUCAUAGCCAUACAUCAGGAUAGUAUCCGCGAUGGGAUAAUAUCAACAAACAUUAUAUUUUUACAUAGAUAUAAAAGGUACAAGUUAUUACAGAACAUAGAUUGAAGCAAACUUAGUAGUGCAGUGUUAGACAGAGUCCUAAGAUUCGAACAUAAACAGUUCAGGAGAAGAUGAGCAUUUAAAAACUUCUUCUUAAGGGUAUUGCGAGACUCAUGACAAUACCCUAGGGCUUCGGGGCUUCCUCCUCUGUAGACUCCUGCGGAGCUUCUGAAAGAUAGCCACAAGGGAAAAACCCUGAGUACGGGGUACUCAGCAAGUCUUACCCGACUAACCAAUAUAAUAGUUUUCUUUGGAAGUGUAUGCUAGCUUUUUGGUGUACUUGGCUUAACACAACUCUUGCCGAAAAGCUUACUACGAGUGAUGCCUUAGUUUUAUCUUUUAUUUGGGUUAAGUUAUUACCUAACCAUUCUAAAUGAUGAACAGGAAGUAAAAGCAAUCAUAGAUAUUAAGUCAUACAUUAAAUAUUAACAGAAAGAUAUAUAUAUUGCAUGAAUUGAUACUACGAUGCUUAACAGUGAUCAAGUGCAUUCAUAACCGAGAAUUGCGGCGAUCCGGAUCCAUUUACAUCCUGCAGGAGAGUACCCUGAUCACCAGCUUUAUACGACUGUCCAGGUCGUACAUAACAACCUCUCGAUUAGCAACAUCAAUGAUUAGGAAUACGACUACCCGGACCCAGGGACGCACCUCCACAUGGGACCCCACGUCUGGCCCGAUCACCAUGUGAGUUUCAGGCUAUGCCCCUGCCAAUCUCCAGCACGUCAAGCGCGGGUACGAAGUAUUCCCGAUCAUAGAGUUUACUAACCUACUGGGCUUUACUGGUCCCAUACCCAGUAAGUGAUCAGAUGCUUAUCACUUGAUCAAAGGUUAAGACAACGAAUCGGGCCUUAACCAAAUUAAGCUAGCAGACAGAACUACAUCUAUAGCUUCUGUCCGCGUCUCUACUGCUAAGUUAUCCUUCUAUACAACACAUGUAUGACUCAAAAGUUUUCCUUAAGGUUGGUAAACCAAGUAUGUAAGCAAGUAAGCAAUUCUAGACUUGGUUAUCUUCUAAGGUUUGAACAAGUGGCAAAGAUGUCCUUAAAUCAAGGUAUGAUCAUGCACAAGAAUAGGUUUCAAGCAACUCCUAGACUUAGUGCAUACAUAAAGCAAAUCCGAUAACUGGACACAUGAAAUAACGACUCCAAAAUAGAUAGGUAUAAAUGCACCGGGGCUUGCCUUGUUCGCUUAAAAAGUUAGUAUCCUCUGACGGGUUGGCUUCACAGGGGACUAAUUCAAAAACUUCUCCGAACUCCGAAGGUCCUUCUGAAAAUUCCAAAUAAUCUCCUUCUGGUGCUUCGGGAUCUAUAGCAAAGUAUGCAGGGGUUAGGAAUGCAAAAUUUUGAAUAAAAGACUAUACAACUUUCCUUCAUGAUAAAGUUGCAAGCCAACAAGGACUAUACAAUUUAUCAUGAUAAAGUUACAAGUCAACACACAAAGACCCAAAAAGAUUAGCCCACAAUUUUAUUUUCUUACUUAACCCUCCUUAAGGCUUUUUCUUUUAUCUUUUAGAAAAAGUUAUAAUUAAUUUCUAACUUGAAAACCUAAUUUCCUAUGAGUUAAGAAUAAUUUGUGAUUAAGAAAAUGUUAUUUCAUAUUUUAUGCAUUUUCUAAAGAUUAAGUAUUUAUUUAAUUACCUUAAAAGAAAGGCAUUAAAUAAAUACCCAAAUUUUAUUAUUUUUCUAGGGUGUAAAAAUUUUAAUGCAUAAAGGAAAAUAAAACAAGCCUAACAAAAUUGGUUUCACUAAUUUUGGACACUCCUAGAAAUUUCUGUGAUUUAAAUGGUGUAAAUCGGAUUUAAACUAAUUACUUUCUAAAGGAAAUCUAAUUUUUCCCGAAAAACGCCCUGGAAAACUUUUCUUACGCAGCUCCAACCUACCCUCUCUCACGCGUGCUGGGCCCCACGGCGCGGACCCACCUUUUCCUAUUCCUUUCUACCCGCCGGCCUUUUCUCCCCCUGACGGGCCCUUUGGACCGCUUUCUUUUUCUUUUUCUUUUCUCCGGUCCGACACCGGCCCACGGCCCUUUUUCUUUUUCUCUUCCCUCGCGAGCGCGGCCUGCUUCCUAUUGGGCCUCCGGCCUCUUUCUUCAGCGGUCGACCGCACCGGCUCCUUGGGCUUCCGUUGCGUUGGCCCAACAACACGCCCGCGCUCCGACCUCCUUUGCUCCCUCGCCUCUCUGACGCGCGGACCUGACCCUUCAGCGUCUUCUUCUUCCUCCCGCCAAAACGCGCGCGCGACAGGGGGCGGCGCGACUCGCUGGCCGGCGCCCCACCGGCGGCGAAGCUGGGUCAGGACAGCACCCCUAUGCCUUCACGCACCCAUGCGCGGCAACAGCUCCUCGGGAGAUGGCCGGAGCCAUUCCCUCCACGGCGACGGGCGGCGACACCUUCGGCCGGGCGCGACUAUUCACGACGACGGCACAAACUACUCGAACAACUACUCUUACACCAUCCUAGUACCCUAAGGACUUGCCUCCGACUACUUAAGAAGGAAGGGGAACAUCGCAAGGUAGUGCUCACCGUGAGCGGGUGGCGCGGCGACGGCGGACAGAAGCGGCGGCGGUUCAAGGCGUGUCGGCGAAGAAGCUGGGCAACAAGUUGCUAGGGUUGCUGGUGGGGUGUGGGCGGAGGUGUGGACGGAGGGAAUCGACGGGAGGUGCGGUGUGGCGGUGGAAUUUUGCUCGGCGGCGGCGGCUCGGUCAGAGGAAGUGGCGGCGGUAAAAAGGCAGCGGUAGAAACGGCGGCGCGGGAGCGGUAAUUAUACAAACGUCUUACCACGCGCAUGGUUGCCACCAUGGUUUACCCAUAGGCUUAUGUGGUGAGGAGGUGGCCUAGCCGUUGCGCUGGCGAGCGACCGACGACGGCGGCGGUGACACGUCCUGCUGCUCUGUCAUCGCCUCCCCCCUUUUCUUUUAACGCCCGAAACUUCAGAGCUCUACCACGGUCGAUUCCAAAACCGACGGUCCCCAAGUGCCUUAACCGAAGUUGGAGAUAAACUUGAACCCUUAACUUUUUAUUUUGGCUCUGACCCGAGAUAAGCACCAAACAUAGCUGAAUUUUGAAUUGUUUCCCGUGUUCAUCUGAAUGUUUCUGAAAUUGACAUUCAGUUUGUCAGUUAACUAACAGUGUCACUUGCUUCACUUUGGGAUUAAGUUUAGUGAUCCAAUUCCUCUCCUUUCGGUCCAACUUCUUCCCAAAUGUGUUCUACAACAUCCCAAGGUUCCAUUUUGCUCAAGAACAACUAUGCUUUUUGAUCUACAUUGCUCUGAAUUCAAGUCCAAAGUCGACCCUAUGCUGCUGGUUUCAGACUUAACCAUUUUCAGGGUGACAGUCAACUGUGACAAUGUGCUGACUUUGAGCUCAAUUUCGAAAUUGUUCCCUUCCAUGUUCCUGGCCAACAACACCCAAAUCUUGUAGUCCAAAGUCCAAACUUUAAUAUGGUGUAGUUGUUCUUAUUCACUUAUUUGAAAAAUUUAUCAGAAUUCAAUUUCCAAGAUGGACUCUAAGGCUGUUUUUCUGAAUUUCUGUUUUCAGACGAGGAACAGUAACUUCAGUUUUCCUUUUUCUUUCCUUAAUUCCUUUGAGAUAUUUUGGACCAGUUCUACUCCAAAUUCUUGAUCCUUAAGUUCUAGUUACUCUUACACUUGUAUUCCACAUUUUUGCCGAAUUUUUCUGAAUUUCAAAUUCAAAAUUCAAAUUUCGGUCAAAUUUGACCCGAAUUUGAUUUUCGGCCAAUUUCUUUUUCUUUUCUUCCCAAUUUGCUUUUAAUUCUUCAAAGUCACUUAGACGACUAAAUUGGCAGCUGUUACAACCAUUAGGCAAGCUCUCAAAUUCUACUUUUACGAAGCUUGCCGACCUCCACCCGCCGUAGGGUCGAGCCUGGGACAAAGCCAAGCUCACCGUGCAAGUUUCCUCACCCUAAACUCCAUUCCCACCACCUAGCAUCAAAAACACAUAUAAGGUCAAUCCUAGAACCUAGCUGAGAUGCUGCCCGACUAAAACCUCGUACCAUGACCCGAUCUAGCCGUUAUGCUGCCCACUCAAAAUCUCAUCCCUGAUAAAAUCCAGCCAUUAUGCUGCCUACCUAAAACCCCAAGUAACGCCCAAACCUAGCCGUAAUGCCGCCUGACCAAAAUCUCAAUUAUCAUCCAAACCUAGCCAUUGUGCUACUCGACCAAAACUCUAAACGACUCUAGGGAAUUAAUCAUUAAAUUCCCUAGAAUUUUCUGGAAAUCCAACCACCCAACCCAUUAAUUAUUUAAAGGGUUUCUAAAUAAUUAAUGGAUUAUCCUUCGAAUACCCAGGAAUUCACCCUUAAUUGUCAGGUAAUUCCCAGAAUAUUCAUCCUUUUCCUUUCUUUUCAUUCCUUAGGAAUUGAUUGGUGUAUGUUUUAUUGAUUAUUAUUUUAUGCGCUUUUACGAGCCGGUAGACUACUAGGCUUUGCUCGAAGCUAAGGAUCCAGAUGGCUCAAAGCCGAGAACCCUGGUCGCCCUAGAAGAUGUUAAGGAUAUCCGAUGAAGGCAAAUCCCAACCCUUAGCUUAUGUUUUAUCCUAUUGAGUGUGAGUAAUAAUAUGACCAACCUAAUAUGGACUACAUAGUUUUAUAAAUAUUUCUUUAUAAUACCUGCUUGCUAGAUUUCUCCCAUUUUUUCUAUUGAAAUGCCACAUUGUUAACGCUUAUAAUUGACAUACUUUUACCCCUGUUUAUCUUCAAUGAUGACAUGAAUUUAAUACCUAAACUAUUGAUCACACCUAAUAAACUGGUCAUUUUUAUAUGUGCAAUAUAUUUUGGAGGAUAUUCUGUUUUUGCAGAAAAUUGGACCUAAAGGUACAUUUUUGGAUAAAGCCUAAAACAAGCAACAAACCACAUGAAGAUGAAGGCCAGCGGGCCCAUGAAGGGCCUAGGCCGAUCGGCCUAUAGUAGCCUAGGCCGAUCGGCCUAGGGUCUCCAGGUCGCCUCUCGAGCUUCUUUUUGGCAAGCAAUCCGCCAAGAUGACUGAAGGCUAAGUUUAUGAAGAUAUGACAAGAAUUAGUUUGGGAUCAAAGAGGAUCAAGCAGAGAUUUAGAAAGUUAUGAGGGAUCAAUCUCAUCCCAACCCACCCAGGCCCAUUGGCCCAGGGGUUUCCUUUGCCCCCUCGCCUUCCAAUUUUUGCCACGUCCUCUCCAAACUAUAAAUACCCCAAAAAUCCACAUAUAAAAGACAAUGUACUCGACGUGAAGCAUCAGAGAAGUAGAAGGAGCUUGAGGGACACCUUUUCGGAGAGCCGAGGGCUGUGCAGUUAUCUAGUGGUCCGCGAGAUCACUGUUGGUAUAAUUAACGAAUGUGAAUAAAUCCGCAAGCGCAUGGAUACCAUUGUAGCUUUCACCUCAGAGUAUUCCAAGGGUAUCAAAUCCAAGGGAACGUGUGUGUACUAACUGCUAUUCUAGUCGGUCCAAGGACACAUCAAGAUAGGUGGCGAGGGUAGAGAGGUAUCCUAAGGUAGUAAUAUAGGUGAGUUAAAGGUCGAUCUCUCGAGUCAGAAUACUCACUUCAGGCAUCGGCUUACCCUGAAUGAGUCAGGCACCUCCGGCCAACAGCUCCACCAUAUAUCCAAACAUGGAGGAUGACAAAGGACUAAUAGGGCUGUCACCACCUACGGCCUACCUCUGCGGCUCGUGGGAUAUACGACCAAUGAAGGAUCACCCUUAGCCUAGACACCACAUCUACGCUAUUGAUUACUACUGCAGCCUAACUACGUCUGAAUCCCCAUAGCAGAAUACAAUACUCUAUAUAAAUAUAGAGCGAUGAAUCCGCGAGUAAGAGAACUGAUCUCACUCAAGUACAGAUACUACUAGUGUAUACUAUAUCAAGGUCUAAAGGUAUACAUGAUAGCAUACAAGCCUAUACUCUGAUAGCAAGGGCAUAUGACUAGCAUACAAGCAUAUAAGCUAAGCAUAUAAACAUAGCAAUGAUAUGAGACUACUCACGCAUAUAAGAACCAAAUAUAACACUAUAGGAAGGAAUCACGAACACUAACUUACUUUACUCAGGAGGUAGCCAGCAUCUGUAGAGGUAUAGGCUAGGAGGAGAGUGCCGACACCCCGGCACUCCUCCCGAACUACCCCCUCACUUUCUCCCUAUUCUAAGCACAAGCUAGGCAAGGCUUUGCCUUUGGAGUGAAACACUAAUUCUCUAUUGAAGCCUCCCCCCCCCUCUACUAUUUAUAGAGUGGAGGUGCCUUGGGAGAGUGGAGAUCCUCCAAGAAUCUCAAGGGAAUAUUCUUUCUCCAACCUCUCUCCUUGUGCCACCUAGCAGGAUCCGAGGCUUUAAGGUGGUAACUCCCGACGAAACAGUCAUAACCGCCUUUAGGAAGUCACCAAGAGCCGCCACGUAAAAGCUGCGCACGAGGAGUACCACCACUGGUUCGGCUGAACCCCAGGCACCGCCUCUCACGCCGCCCUUUGUCUGGGAGGCUGCCUGGUGGUCCCUCAAGUUGGUGCAAGGUGCACGCACCAAAUUAAGGUGGUUUACCCCCUAAUGUGAGCCCAUGGAUCUGUGUGCUUUUCUAUGAUUGUCUGGAGUUGUGUUUCUUUGCCGCUUGGGUGUGUUUCCUCCUCCUUUCUAAGGAUAAGUAACCUGUAUACAAAUAUUCACCAACACUUGUGGAAAUGGUUAGUAAUAAACCCCUACCACUAGUUUGAUGCUCAUCUUUCCGGUAUUUAUGCAGUUGUUGACGGCCUAGAAUUGGCACUUAAGAGCCAUCAACAAUCACCCUGCGAGGAAGAUCCAUGCCAGAGUUUUGGCUAGGAGUCAUCAAGAUCAAUGUAGGAUCCCGGUAGUGAUCUUGUGAUGUACAAUCAUUCAUGGUGAAGUAAUAGAUGUGUUCAUGUUUUUAGCGAUCUAAGUAUCUCCUUCGAUGGUUUUAUGCUCUUUUGGGUUUACUUACUUUUCAAUCUAUGAAUCAAUUAUAGGUUGCUUAGGGUGUUCUUGUGGUCGUGGUGAUCGGAUUUGCAUGCCUGAUCUACCGAUGAACAUGUUCUUUUGAUCGUGCCCUUAACCUACUUGCGCUAAUAAAGGUGAUCAUGAUAGGAUCUUUUUUGUGUAAGGUGGGUAGGGAGUUUUGGGAUCCGAACUGGAGGUGUAGAUUUAAACAUACUUUUUACUAGGAUCAUAUCUAUGUUUCUUUGCUAUCCAUGCUCAGAAUUACAACAUAUGCAUAGUCUAGGUUGCUCUAGAUUGGUUACCUCUGCUCUAUCUGUUAUCUGUCUGUACAUGUGUGACGACCGGCCCCAAAUCUUCCAAGUUAAUCUUAAUCCGAGCCCCUGAUCACCAGUCUUAGCUUUCCAAGCCUAAGUGUUCAACCUCCCGACCGGUCCCGACCCCUAAGACCCGACCCCUCCCCGCUUGUCUCCAGUUCCGACCCCGCAAAACCCAGCUCACCGUCGGAUCCUUCUAAGUCCUUCCCAAAACGUCCGUUCUAUCUGACCGGUGGACCCACGAGAUCUUUUUCCCCCAGAUCUUCCGCGACAGGCGCACUCGAGUUGCAUGCCCGCUUCAGAGUUUCCCCGCCGCGUGGCUCAACUUCUCCGACGCCCGCCGCUCAGCCUCGUCUCUGGCCCGCGACCGAAUGGAUUCUCGUGCCCCCUUCCCCAAUUGCAGCGGAAGCCCCUCUGCAACCUUUCUGCAACACCUCGCCUCCCGCGCCCAUCAUCACGUCGCCAGAUCCCGGUCGCAGAGCCCGAUGUUGCCCGUCUUUUCUAUCACUUCGACACAGUCGCGCCGCCUGGUCUUCGCUACCCGACGAUUCCUCCUCCGCCAACCCUGACCACGGCAGCGACAGCUCCUUUCCCCGUCCUGUCAGAAGCCGCUCGACAAUCUGUUGCUCCGCGCUCGCCCGCGCGCCCGCGGCUGCCCGUAUUCUCACCUGUGCGCCCUCGUUUCUAGCGCCGUUAACCCGGUCACUUCCAUCAACUCUACCGCACGACGACGCCCGCCUCCGCCAAAUCUCAACCACCGGCAUACCCGCUCCUGCACCGCCCUGACGCCAGAGCCCAAUGACCGCUGGCAUCAUCCCCGAAGUUCUGCACCACCGCCCUCGUCGCUCAAUCGCCGCCCAGGCAGAGCACUCCAUUGCUUCUUCCCCGACCUUCGCGCCGCUCCUCUUCUCACUCCUGCUCCGCUUCCCUUCUCCCUUCCCAGCCGCUAUAAAAGGGAAUGCGCGAGCCCCGCCGAAGUUCCCUCCACCAUCACUGCCUUCCGCCAUUUCUCUUGCUCCCUGCUCGAGCUCCCAGCGCCACACACUAAGUUACUGAGGAACUCUCCUCUUCGCUCCACUCCGUUUUCCCCAAACCAUCCAGCCGCUUGCUCCUCCGUGCUGCGUAAGAGCUCACUUGUGAUCCACAAGAAGCACCGCCGCCGCCGGAGUACUGCCGGACCCAGCCGUUGUUCAAAGCCUUAGCCCCUCCGCCCAAGCCUGUUUCUUCCCAACCCCAAGCUUUCCUUGUAGGAAGAAGGUAAGCUGUCGACCCCUGGUCCGCCUCGUCCGACCCCUGUCCGCUUCACCCGACCCCUCUUAUCCGCCCGACCCCGGUUCCGUCUCACCCAACCCUGUCUGUUCCGCCGACCCUUCUCCGCCUCGCCCGAGGGCUCGGCUGUAACCUUUUUCUUCAAACCAAGUGUGUAUGUGUAAAACUUGGGAACCCUUCAGCAUUGAGUCUGAGGUUCCCUAGCACACCAAACCCUCUCGUUUAAGGGUCAGAUCAUAAGUUCCUUUCCUCCGACCCUUACCUCUUGAUCUCCACCAGCUCCCUUGAACCUUCCCACCCUCCUGCUUUUUUUGUCGCGAGUUUCUGGGCUCAGACUUGCAAGUGUUGCUGUUGAAAAAAAAAACCGUCUAUACUAACUAAUGCAUUGCAUUCGUGUAGAGCUGCGCCUCGCCGAUGGCUUCUACGAGCUGCACCCGGUGCCAGAAGACGACGAUGUAGCUGAGCUCCUGCCCUCUGAAGCCGAAGCCGCCCCAGAAGUCGAGCAGUUCUCUUCCUCCUUGCUCGAAGGCAAGCCCCGGAUGCAUGAAAACCCUGUGUUGUUUUACCAGACUUGCGCAUGCCUUCUGUAACAUGCUUGUGCAUUUACGUAUAGGAGUUGUUUGAAACCCUAGAUGCAUGACUUAGUUGUUCCCAUGAUCUGAACACUAGCUGUUGGACCGAGUAGCUGCUUGCUUAAAUAGGAAGCGAUAAAAGUCGAGUGAUUUCCUAUCACUCGCGAGUUGUAGGAGUUGGUUGUCUACUCUUCUGUUACAACUGUAAGGAUGAUGGACGGGGUAGGGUUUUGGGUAACUCUUUGGUGGUCGGUUGAUCGCCCCGUCUAUCUAUGAAACCUGACUAAGGCCCGACAGUGGUGGUGUUCGUGAUCAAGUGUUUGAAAGUACUAACCUCAUACUUAGUAUGGGAUGAGGAAGCCUAGUACCGGAUUGAACCUAGACGUGAGCGGUCGCCCCAUUGUUCUUGGAACGGAGUUUCCCCUGCUGGAUGUCGCACGUGGUGGCAUGCGUGGUCACAGAACGGCAGAGGCCGGGUCUGUGGAACCUUGCACCAAAAGAAAUGGGCCCGACACGGGUUAGGGGAUUGAUGGGGAAGGCCGACACAGGAAGCGACCUCCGGGUGCGCGGAUGUUGUGAGGUUAGGUUCACCAUGCAUGGUUAAAGAACUCGAAUUGAUUCGUCUGCCUCUCACAGUUUGAGACUGCUUGAUCGCUAUGUCACCCUGAGUAAAUGAGGAAUCUGAUGAUGACAUGGUUUUGUUGUUAUAUAUACAUACCUUGGUUGAUUCUAUGAUUGUUUAGCAUAGUUGCAAACUUAGACCGGAUAAUGAACUUAGAACCGGAGCUAAAACUUGAAAAUAGGGUUUUACUUAGUGCUUUUGGCAAACAAACCCCUCAGCCAAAAAGCCUUGCAUGUCUAGUUCUGUGGAGUAGCUUUACUCCCUGUCGGUUAAGCCUUGUUGAGCUUAGUAGCUCAGCCUUGUUGUGGCUCCUGUUUUUCAGGUGAAGUUGCUGCUCCCGACCCUUCUCCCGCUAGCACUUGGCCGCCCCAGCUCCCUCCGGGUUGGACGGUCGAGUGGGAUCCCUCCUCGGACGGCGAGGAGAGGGAUCAGUGAUGUCCCGGUUGGCCUCACUAGGGACGUCCGACCCCGACGUUUUGCUUCCGCUAAUGGUUUUACCUUCUGUUGACUUUCUGGAAACCUUGUAAAACUCUGAUGUUUAUUUCAUAACCAAAUUAAAUGGUUAAGUUGUUAACUCGGUGGACUUGUUGUAGUCUCUAGAAUCGCUCACCUUCGUGUGGGUCUGCUAAAUUGGUCCUGUUCAAGUGGUUAAAUCGGAAGAAAUCCGUCGGCACUUCGUGUUUACUCGGCUUAGGCAUGAGCGUCGCGUAUUAUGCGGCUAAAUCAUGUUUAACCAAGUAGAUCCGAAGUGGAUCCGCCACAACAUGCUUAGUAGAUUGGAUCUGAAUCACCCAUCAACACCAAGUUAAUACUAACAAUGCUAGUUGAAAUAGAUCUUGUGCUAUAAGUUCCACAGAUUGAUAAACCUUGGGCGAGUACUCUGAGGGUAGAGCUAAAACUGAUAUGUGCACUUGCGGUUUACAAAUUGGCGUGCUAACAGCCGUCAACACACAUGCCAAAUAAACCCUAGGCAACUACAUUUCCAUAAGCCACCCCAUACCAUAAAGGUGGAUAAAACAUUUGUUGGAUCCUCUAUGGAGACGAUCUAACAAAAUAUCAUUUUAUAUACAAUAAAAUGCUUAGGAAGGGUUUUUCUCUUUUGGGAAGGCGUGAGUUAAAAGAUAAAGUGAUAAUAAUAGCAACCCCUAAGGUAUGUUUUUGACUUGAGAGUAAGGGGAUGGCCUCAGUGGUGGAUACUCUAUCCCAAAGCUUACUCUGGUCAUAUAAGAACCGGUUCAUUGGGCGAGUCUUUCUUGUGAACUGUACAACCAUACAUGCCAAAAAGGUACAACCUUCGGGAGUACCUAUCUAUGUGAGGUCUUGGUUCAAACCCCGCUAGCUGAACCUAGUCAUCCAUCCCAAGGGUUCAAGGUGGGCAAUGGGUAUAUAGGAGCAGGACCUUCGCAUAGUCUUAGAUUCGGUCAGCACAGGUCAACUGUUGAGAGGGCUGGAGGCCCUGAUAAUUUAUUCAUGCAUGCAUUUCCCGGGAUAGUAUCCGCAAGGUGAAUGUUAGUGGCCCCCUAUUUAGACCCUAAUAUAUCCAUGGAUGGACCUAGGGAAUGCUGUCCAGAGAUGGACACGGGCGGGUAUGGAUCUCGUAGGCCAGUACCGCCUGAGUACUAGGUGUGGGCUGGCCGGACAUAUGGGGAAAGUGUACACCUCUAUGCAGAUUAUAAUCUAUUCGAAUAGCCGAGGCUCACGGUCACGAGCCCACUAAGUCAAAGCCCCCUAUGAUUACUCUUUGAAGCUCUUUGGGUGGGAUUAGUGUGUUAAACAUACUGGAUGAAGUUGAAUGACCGGAUUCCAGAACUAAAACCUAGGGACUGAUAGGGGAGGUAGUUUUCCCCGUCCAGAACCACCACUCCAAAAUUAACAUGCUUUUAGAAGAGUCUUUUCAAUUCUCACCUUUUAAUUCACCUAUAUAUGUAGGAUUAUACCUAUAAAUCAUGUUCCUUAUCCACCUCCUAAAUUGCAUAUAAUUACUUAGUAAAUAUUGGGACUUGCUGAGUAUCAACCAUAAGUAUACUCAACCUUACUUUCAUCAUGCAGGUGUAGAUCUUCAGGUGUUAUAAACCAUCUUGUUAGUGGAUGGGCACCACUUCACUGCGUUAAGGUGAAAACAUUUUUUUAUUAAAUUAUACAUCUUUUAUUGCUUAAAAUACUAAGCUAUGAUGAUAACGGUAUCAGCCUAUUGAUCCAGGAACUAAUACAGGUGAUCAGCGGGACUCCCGAAGGGAGGUCCCCACAAGCUAUCUCCGGUGUGGCUGGGAUAUAGAGGAGGUCGUUGGUGGCUAGGUAGCAAGCGGUGGUGUGCGGGUUGUGUGCGGGACGGCGGGACGCCACCGGCCGCUAUCCGUAGUAGACAACAGGUGGCCUCUGGAGGCGGCGGGGGAGCCACGGCAAGCUCCCCGGCAGGUCCGGGGUAGCGCGGCGAAGGAUGGUGGCGGCGGAUUUGACGGCACGAGCCGCCGGAGAUCGUGGAGGAUGGCAGCGCGGGAGGGGGUGCGACGGUGAUUGAGGGCUGCGACCUGCGGUGGUGGGAACCACCGGAACUGGAGGAGGAAAGAGUCGCGGGAGCAUAGGUUGCGCGCACUCCUGGACCGCCAUCACCGAAGGCGACAUCAGUGAUUUUGUCGCCUUCAGUGAUAAAUAGACGCGCCCUAGAUAGAUCUCCGAGAAUGGAGGGUAUUUCGAGGACUUCUCAAAAUAGGAAACCUAGUAUAUUUUUAAUUUGGUACUCGUCAACAACUAUUACUCUAUUAGCAUCUUUUAAGAUAACACUGAAAUAUGGUAGUCUCCUACUUUAUGUGCAGUGUCGUUGCGUCAAAUACGUGUGAGGUCGCGGACCUGAGCCUCAGCCGCUCAGGCCCACGGGCACAAAAAGACUCGAAUUGCCGUGUUUGACGGAGCACUGUGGGAGUUCUGCUGUGCUGUCCGGUCUCUGGUGACCGUUAGAUUAGCGAACUGACCCCGAACCCGUUGAUUAGCGAUGCAGUCAAGAGCAAAAAUCGAUUCCUCUAACUGCCAUCAAACCAUAUUAUUCACUGGUGGUUUGAAUCCAAAGUCUUCCAGAGCACCAGCCAAGGUCGGCACGUACUACUAAUCAAAGGCAAUUCGACAGCUUCGCAGCAAGCACCUCCUGCACGGUCUGCUGCCAAAGUGUGCACACCAAAUAAAAGUCUUCUUUUAGACCAGUAGUACCAAAUAAAAGUCCAAAUCCCACGCAGCAAACCGAACGGGGCUCGUGCCAGUCUAACAAAAACUGGGGACUCCCGCUCCCUCCGCAUUUGAUUGCACAAGCAGAUCGUCCUCUUCCUGCGUCCACCUCGCGCCGUGGCGGCCGUGCUGUGCCGGCGUGCACAACCAACGCCACGCCGCGAAAACAAACCGGCCGAGACAUGGACACACCACGCCGCGCGUCCGUGUACCCGCGUAUCCUCGGUCUCGUGCUCGUGCUGCUCCGCGCGGCCGCGCAGCCCCCGCCGGCGGGCGAGGCGCGGCUGCUGCUCGAGAUCAAGCGCGCGUGGGGCGACCCGCCCGUGCUCGCGGGGUGGAACGCCACGGCCGCGGCCGCGCUCUGCAGCUGGCCGCACGUCGGGUGCGACGCGUCCGGGCGCGUCGUGAACCUCACUCUCGCGAACGCUAACGUCGCGGGGCCCUUCCCUGACGCCGUCGGCAACCUCUCCGGCCUCACGUACCUCGACGUCUCCAACAACAGCAUCAGGUCCGUGUUCCCGAGCGCGCUGUACCGCUGCGCUUCGCUUCAGUACCUCAACCUCUCCCAGAACUACUUCGGCGGUGUGCUCCCGGCAGAAAUCGGCAGCGGCCUCGCCGCGAGCUUGACCACGCUGGACCUCGACGGCAACGAGUUCAACGGCACCAUCCAGGCGUCGCUCUCCCGGCUCCGGAACCUCGAGUAUCUCGCGCUGAACAGCAACCGCUUCACCGGUAUCAUCCCAGCGGAGGUUGGCGACCUGACGAGCCUGCAGGUACUGUAUCUGGAUAACAACCCGUUCAACGCAGGCCAGCUGCCGGCGUCGUUCAAGAAUCUGACCAACCUGGUCAGCCUCACGGCGUCGCAGUGCAAUCUCGUCGGGGACUUCCCGAACUUUCUUUGGAGUCUGAAGAAGCUGCAACAAUUGUAUCUGUACACGAACAACAUCACCGGCGACCUGGUAGUUGAUGGAUUUGCUGCUAGGAGCUUCACACUAAUCGACGUCUCGAAGAACAAGAUCACUGGAGUCAUCCCGGAAGUGUUUGGGAGCUUGAAGAACCUCACAGUCUUGAACCUCUUCAUGAACAACUUUACCGGUCAGAUACCGGUGAGCAUCGGCCUGUUGCCGUCACUGACAACGUUGAGGCUCCACACCAACAUGCUUAACGGCACGCUCCCACCGGAGCUCGGAAAGCAGUCGGCGGGCCUGAAUUAUGUUGAGGUUGACUACAAUGAGUUCACCGGCGUGAUCCCGGAAGGGCUGUGCACCGGAGGCAACUUACAGUACCUCACCGCCAAGAGCAACCGAUUGAACGGCUCCAUCCCGGCAGGCCUUGCCAACUGCACCACUCUGGAAACCCUGUCGCUGGACAAUAACCAGCUCUCCAGCGACGUGCCAGAGGCUCUCUGGACGGCAACGCAGCUUUACUUCGUGACACUACAGGGUAACCAGCUCACCGGAAGUCUUCCUGCGACGAUUCUUCUCAACAUUUCGACGUUACGCAUUGGGAACAACCAAUUCAGUGGCAACAUUCCGGCUGCAGUAGCUGCUCUCCAGGUGUUCACCGCCGAGAACAACCGGUUUUCUGGUGCGAUACCGGCGAGUCUUGGCGACGGCAUGCCGCUGCUGCAAAGACUCAGCUUGUCCGGGAACCAACUGUCCGGCGGGAUCCCGAGAAGCGUUGCUAAGCUAAGCCAGCUGACGCAAAUGGACCUGAGCAGGAAUCAGCUCACCGGCGGCACACCGGCAGAGCUCGGCGCCAUGCCGGUGUUAAGUGUCCUUGACCUGUCGUCGAACAAGCUCUCCGGCAACGUACCGCAGGCGCUUGCGAAGCC